rnacentral:rRNA from 1 species
AUGGGGGUGGCGUCGGCGGCACUCUGGGACAUCCUGGCGAAGGCCGCCAACGUGGCGCAGAUGUCCGGCCUGCACGCCGCCAUGCUGGUCGCCGUGGGCAUGAGCCUCCUGAGCAUCCCGCAGAGCAGGUGGGAGUGCGCCAAGCUCGAGCGGUGCAGCCGCAGGCUCCACGCGUUGCUGCAGUGGCCGACGUGCUGCGGGGCCGUGCUGCUGUGCUCGGAGAUGGGAGGCUCCGUUCUAAAGGCGCUCGUCGACGCGGCCGGACUCGUCGCCUCCUAUAAGAAGAGCACGCUGUGGCACUGCGUCCGGAGGGGCAAGGGCAUGGCCGCCCAGCUCCGGGACAUGCAGGACGUCGUUGACUCCUACUGCGGGCUCCUGCUCUACGUCAACGCGCAUCUCCUGCUACAACCGGCGACUCAUCGUCCCCCGCCAGAUGCUACUACGUACGGGGUUCAGGAGGUGAAUGAGAAUGACACACCACAGAGUCGAAGUGUGCUACAAGCAGUAACCAAUAGCCCGGGAGUUAAAGAAACUCGUGGCACUCAAAUGCCCAAUGAUGAUGGCGAGGGGGGAACAGGCAGCUGGACAGACUAG